rnacentral:rRNA from 1 species
CGGACGGGUGAGUAAUGUCUGGGAAACUGCCUGAUGGAGGGGGAUAACUACUGGAAACGGUAGCUAAUACCGCAUAACGUCGCAGGACCAAAGAGGGGGACCUUCGGGCCUCUUGCCAUCGGAUGUGCCCAGAUGGGAUUAGCUAGUAGGUGGGGUAACGGCUCACCUAGGCGACGAUCCCUAGCUGGUCUGAGAGGAUGCCAGCCACACUGGAACUGAGACACGGUCCAG